AGCAAAUAAAAGUUCUGUAGGGAAGGAGGUGUUGUGGAGGAGGAAGCAUUAAGCUGAAAGGAGUGUUUUAUUCAGUUGAGAAGGUCAUACCUAUGCACUGUAGGUAAAGGCUGUGUUUUAGUACAGCAUUUGAAAGUGGCUUUUUAUUUAGGAGUGGGGAAAAUAAUUUAAAAUGAGACUUCAAUAUACUGGGGUUUUGUUUUUUGGCCAGUUUCAAGAUGCAGAGAAGAAAACCUGUUUUAGCAUGGUGUGGGUGCUGCUGUGUAGAGCUAAGGCAUCCUUCAGUACAACAAGCUCGUGGUGCUGUCAUCUGGAAAUAGACUUGAAAUUUGCCCCAUUGAUUAACUUCUGCAAAAAUGCCUACUGCUGGUGACCUACUGACAUGGCUAUAAAUGAUUGAGUAAUUUCUGGAGAUGCUUUAUCCUCCCUCAGUUCCUCUUCCCACAGCAGGAGCCCUGCUUGGUCAUGCUGCUGCAAAGCCUGGUGCAGCCUCGUCCCCCUUAGGGCUGGGGGUGCUGAGCUUCAGGAAAGCUCAGAAGUUCUGGACCAUCGAGCUCCUAUGAUUUUGAGAAAGGCAGUUAAUGGCUGCUGUGAAGCAAUAAAGAGCAGCUGUGUAGCAGCUGGGGUUCUUAUUAGAAAAUAAAAUCAAACUGGCUCCUGGAAAACCAGAUUUAAGGUAAAAAUCAUAACAGCAGUUCCCUAACUGGUGUGGGAAAGAGUAAGAGAAAAGGUUUGUUACAGCUACAGGGGCAGGUCAGCGACUUCCCUGCUUCAUGAGUCCUGGAGCUGCACUUGCUCUUGGAGUUGGCAUGGGAUUAAACGUGCUGACUUAAAGCCUUGGAUGUCCCUGAGAAAGAGAAAUCCCCAAAUUCUGCUUUAAGAAGAAGUUUGGAUGGAAAUGUUUGAUAUUAAUCAAAGCUGUGCUCAGAGGCUGGAGGGCUGCUCUAGUGCUGCUCCCAGGAGCCCUGUUGCAGUGAGGGCAGGUGAUGUUCCCAAAGACCUCGCUGCUCUGUGUCCUGCCUGGAGAGCUUGGCUCCUUAAGAGCUUAUAAUCAAAUAAAGCUGAGACACUCCAAGGUGAAAGAGCAUUAGAGUAAUACUGCCUCCUAACAGCUCCUGUUUCUAUUGCUUGUCUGCUUUCCUUUUUUAACUGUGGCUUUUAAGCCGUAGAAAUCAUGCCCAGUGCAUGGCUCACAGGUGUGCUGCUUGAGUGGGGCAGGGAAGUGCCUUAACACUGCUGGCUUGCUGCGAGGCUUGAGUAAAUGGCAUUACUAGCUAAUGCAAUUACCUCGCUGCCGCUGUCCCCAAGCAGUCGUGGGGAUAAAAUACGAUUUAAUGCCCCUCUGUAAGCCUCUGUCACAGAGACUGGGUGAGUUCCCCGGCAGCGAUGCUGCACUGCUGCAGCGAAGAUGCGGUCUGCAUCCCUCAGCAGCCAGGGUGCAACUGCAACGGGAGUGCUCCGCAGCAGCCGUGGCAAGGGGAAAGGAGUCAGGGGUGGGGAUGGGGAGAGCUCAUCCCCACCAAAUGCUCUAAGUGAGUUGGAAGCGAGCUGAUCGAUCAAUCAAGCUGUGCCUACUUGCUGCCUUUUGUUCUGACAAAGCGAUGCUCUCAUCACCUUGGCCAUCAGAUGAAAAAGUGCUGGCAGCUUCCCCAGGGAUCCCUGCGCUGGGACAAGCUGCCUUCAGUCCCUUGUUUGGUCUUGAGCUAAAUGAGGAGGGAAAUUGAGAUCUGAAUUUGUAGCCUAAACAUGUUUGUUGGUGUGUGUUUUUUUUCAUUGUAAUGUAGGCGAGUAUUAACUUCCUCUUGUGCAUGAGGGCAGAGGAAGUGAGGCAGUUUCACUUAGAGCUCUCAGUAGUAGACAACUUCCUCUGUGGCUCCCGAGGAUGUGUUUGUGCUUUAACUAAAGGACUGCCUUUUAAUCUGCUGUCCGAGCCAAAAAAAAAAUAUCUUACAGUAACUAUGGAUUCCCAUUCUUGCAGGCAUCAAAGGUGAAAAUGGACUAAAGUCUGUCUGCUAAAAUGAACAAAGGAAGUUUAGUGAUGAAAUAUUUCCCUCCUGUCUGUGCUAGGUGAAAGAAGCACUGAGUCUGCUGUCCCUGAGAGCUUCUGGGGUGCUUCCUGAAACUCCGAACCUCUGAAGACCUGGCUGUGCCGUGGCAAUGCUUUGUCUGCUGUCUGCUGGUGUUCUCCAGCCUUGUCAGGGCUGAGUGGCAGAGAAAUGAGACGUCGUGGCUUGUGAUGUAAAACACAGACAGAUAACUGGCACAUAGAGCACUGUAAUCAUCGGGCUGCCAAAGAUCCCCCAGAUGUACUUGGUUAGGGUUUAAUAGUUAAGGUAACUGAAGUAAAUAUUGAAUGGUUGAUAAAGACUUACACAUUGACCUUCUGAAAUCAGUAUUGGAUAUAAUUGUGCUGGUUAUCAGUUUCCUGACUAAUUAGUAUUCAGCAUUGUUUCAGGUUUAAAAAAAAUAAAUCACAAAAGGAGUAGAAUAUAAGUAGCACAUCUCUUAUGAGAAGAAACCUCUGACUGCAUGGAGGCUUCCUAGUCUGG